AAUCGCAACAAAGCUGAAGAGCAGCUCAGGAAAGAGGCGAAAGACGGUGGAUUUAUGGUUAGAGUGUCCAGCAAUACAGGGACGUACACUGUGUCACUGUACACCAGGAAUACAGCGGACGGAGCAGCUACAGUCAGACAUUACCAGAUUAAAGAAACAAACAGCUCACCAAAACAGUUUUACCUGGCAGAGAAAUACAUCUUCAACAGCAUUCCUGAACUCAUAGAGUACCACAAACACAACGCCGCAGGUCUUGUUUCCAGGCUCCG